rnacentral:tRNA from 1 species
GGGGGGGGACUCAAGAGGCUGAAGAGGAUGGUUUGCUAAAUCAUUAGGUCGAGAAAUCGAUGCGAGGGUUCGAAUCCCUUCCCCCCUU